rnacentral:rRNA from 1 species
CCUACGGGGUGCAGCAGUAGGGAAUUUUGCGCAAUGGGCGAAAGCCUGACGCAGCAACGCCGCGUGAUCGAGACGCCCUUCGGGGUGUAAAGAUCUGUCAGUGGGGACGAAACUUGACGGUACCCACAGAGGAAGCACCGGCUAACUCCGUGCCAGCAGCCGCGGUAAUACGGGGGGUGCAAGCGUUGUCCGGAAUCAUUGGGCGUAAAGAGUUCGUAGGCGGCAUGUCAAGCGUGCUGUGAAAUGUCCGGGCUCAACCCGGGCCUUGCAGCGCGAACUGGCGUGCUUGAGUCCGCGGAAAGCAGGCGGAAUUCGUCGUGUAGCGGUGAAAUGCUUAGAUAUGACGAAGAACCCCGAUUGCGAAGGCAGCUUGCUGCAGCGGAACUGACGCUGAUGCUCGAAAGCGCGGGUAUCGAACAGGAUUAGAUACCCGUGUAGUC